GAUGAACGCUGGCGGCGUGCCUAAUACAUGCAAGUCGAGCGAACAGAUGAGGAGCUUGCUCCUCUGACGUUAGCGGCGGACGGGUGAGUAACACGUGGAUAACCUACCUAUAAGACUGGGAUAACUUCGGGAAACCGGAGCUAAUACCGGAUAAUAUAUUGAACCGCAUGGUUCAAUAGUGAAAGACGGUUUUGCUGUCACUUAUAGAUGGAUCCGCGCCGCAUUAGCUAGUUGGUAAGGUAACGGCUUACCAAGGCAACGAUGCGUAGCCGACCUGAGAGGGUGAUCGGCCACACUGGAACUGAGACACGGUCCAGACUCCUAAGGGAGGCAGCAGUAGGGAAUCUUCCGCAAUGGGCGAAAGCAUGACGGAGCAACGCCGCGUGAGUGAUGAAGGUCUUCGGAUCGUAAAACUCUGUUAUUAGGGAAGAACAAAUGUGGAAGUAACUAUGCACGUCUUGACGGUACCUAAUCAGAAAGCCACGGCUAACUACGUG
rnacentral:rRNA from 1 species